AUCGAGGGCCAUUCCAUCCUGAACGCACCCGAUCUCGUCUGAUCUCAGAAGCUAAGCAGGGUUGGGCCUGGUUAGUACUUUGGACAAAACGUCACAGAUUGCAUUUCUUA
rnacentral:rRNA from 1 species